AGGAGACGGUGAGACGUCCUGAUAACUUUCUCCAGCGUCCCAAGAGACCUGCUAGUUUGUUCCAGACAUUCUGACAAACCUUCAGAUGAAACUCCAGGAGAGGAGCUCAGUGAGGCUGCAGAUGAUGGAGAGGAGGAACAUGAAGCAGCAGCUAAAAGGGAUGGACGUGCAUCAGACAAGCUCAUAACAGAAAGCUGUGGCCUUGUCUCCAGAUUAUUGCCCGGGGACGUUGUGUUAUGACAGAGGCUUUGAUAUUAAAGACAGUGUGGGAGUCAAGGUCAAGGUUCUUUAUUGUCAUUC